GUCGUUAGGAUGGAACGCAAUUAAAUACAUGUGUGACGUGUAUUUGCGAACGACGUAAUUAUUUUCAG
rfam:Tobacco mosaic virus coat protein, complete cds.